rnacentral:sRNA from 1 species
GCUGGGUGUGGUGGCACACGCCUGUAAUCCCAGAGACUUGGGAGACUAAGGCAGGAGGAUUGCAAGUUCAAAGCCAGCCUCGGCAAUUUAGAAAGACUAAGCAACAUAGCAAGACCUUGUCUCAA